CACGACACAUCAGGCAGGGCAGAGACCCAAGUAUUCACAUAGGGCCAGUGAUGACUUUUUUUGACACCUGUGGAUUCUCCGUGGCAACCUAUUCCCCAAAAGUGCUGCCUCGGUCAGCCAAUCCCAGUGUCUCUCUGCCUAGGCAACAAUCUCUUGUGCUCUGGUCUGCCCACAGCCUCCAUGCACUCAGCUCUUUGGGCCUCUUGCUAAGGGGCUGGAAGCAGAGCUGUGUCCUUCAGGCUGUCAAGGACCUGGUGAGGGAUCCUCUGGGUGUCCAGGGAAGCAGGUUCAGAAAGCUCAGUUCAGCUGGUGCUGUAUUUUGAUCUCUGAUCCCAGUGCAGCGGGGACCAGCCUACUCAACUCAGUGCAGAUAGCAACAAACCAGUCACCUUGCCCAAGACCUCCUGCUGCCUGCCUGCCUGCCUGGUGACCAGGACUCCUAAAGGCUGCAGCAGCAGCAGCAGAGUUAAAACUUUAAAACCGGGAGGACUGGUUCUGUGGCUCAGCUUCCUGGCCUGGAGAGGCUCUAGCCUCCAUUUUCUUUCUUUCAGCUUAUGGAAUUGUGCAAGAAAGCACAGAGGGUGGAGGGAGCGAGGGGACCAGUUAUGCCACAGCCUCCUGCACCACCAGAGCACAGUCUCAGAUCAGCAAAGAGGAGCUCUGAGGAGGAAAAGGCUGCCCCAGGAAAGAGCUGGCCAUCUCAGAUUGCUGUAGCACAUUCAAGCCAAAGGGAGUCCCCGGAGGAUGUUUCGUCCAGCCCCCAUAAUUUUAGAGCGGGAAACAGAGGUCCAGAGAAGGAAAGUGGGUCCUGAGGCCACACAGCUAACUAAUGGCAGAGUCAGUUUCCAGCCCAGGGAUCCCCAGCUGCCUGCCCAGCACUCUUGCUACCCAGGCUGAACCCCCACCCCCGUGCUACCAAGGGGCCCAUGCAGGAGCAGGCAGCAGCCACUGGGUAACUUGAUGGCUUGGGAGAGGCGGCCUGGCCUGACACAUUGGGAGGCUGGGCAGGUCCCCGCUUUGCUCCUAUUGUGCUAUUUGGGUGCCUCCUGCCAUCCCCCUGCAUUCUGCUAGACCUGAAACCACAGCCCAGCCCACGCUUGUCAGUCAAGUGCUUCCCGAGGAUAAACUUUGCACACAGCACCCAGGCCACUCUUGGGGACCAGGCCACUCUCUGUUGAAGAGAUCUAACUAAUUUAUAAAUUGAUUGAUUGAAGUUCUUUUUGUCCCAGGUAACUUCAUGUCUUAGGCCAAAGAAGGGAGUCAUGAUGAGUGCCAGAGAUGAAACGGAGAUUCUGGGGCAAAGGGUAGGGGAGGCACCUGGGAGGCCCUGUUCUUCAGGUGAUCUUCUCAUUAGUGUAGACUUUUGACCCCAGGCAGACAUUUACAUGUCCAAUAGCCACCAUCAGAGGUCAGUUCCCAGAAGCAGGAGGCCUGUCACUUGCCACCGGUCACCAGGCCCAAGCUAGACAAGAAGACUUUUUCUAUUCCACUAGAGUGGAUCUUGCUGAUGAUGUGUCUGGGAUCCAGAAAGGUGGGGAGAAGUAGAGGUCUCAGCUCCUGGGGAGGGAUGGAGCCAGCCCCGGGGGAAGAAUGCAAGGCCGCCAGUGAGCAGGCAUUCAGGGCUCCUGUCGAGGAGAGGGUGGUCAGGACAGGAGGAGGGGCUGCCUCAUGGAUGAUGAGGUCCAUCAUCCUAGCAGAGGCUGUUGUACCAGCCACUGACGAGGGUGUGGCAGUGGUGUUACCAGAACCCUGCUAUGUCAGCGUUCAAAUACAUGUCCCAGCAGGCCAACCACCCCUGCAGCAGUCAAGGGGUUCUGUCCGGUGUGUGCCAGAAUGCUAGGGAAGAGAGGACCCUGAGAAGGAUGGCAGCAUGGCACAGACACGCCAUGUGGCAGUUAGACAGGUCAUGCCUUCUGACCCAGGGCACAUGCAGAGGUCCACAGACUCUGAGGCCAGCUAGUUAGUGUUCCCAGGGGGCUGCACAGCCCAGAGCCUGUGAGUUUUGUGCAUCUGGAGCUAAGGUGUUCUGCCCAAAGUGUUGGAGGUGGGCCUCAGGCAACAAAUACCCUGCUUCCUCACAUCCCCUUUUCUUCCUUGGAGCUUGGGCCUGGGCCCUCACCUAGUCAGGCACAGGCCUCCACUCCCCCACACUCACCUGUCCUUCCUGAAAGUCAGCCACUGGGCUCCACGCAGGGGUGUCACAGUCAGAGCCCUGCUCCAGCCUCAGACCUGGGGCAGUCACUGGAAACUCAGAAGAGAGAAGACAAGACAAUGAAAGUUUCCCAUUCAAGGAGGCAUCCAGCUGUUAGUUCUGCCAGCAAAAAUGCCAGCCAGAGAGCUAAACUGCCAGCAAAAGAUAUUUGGAUGGAACUUUGGAGGCCAUUAAGAGCAGGCACUGCAAAGCAAUUGUAGCGAAAAGAUAUUAAAUGAAUCCAUCACGUC
rnacentral:lncRNA from 1 species